GAUCUCAGUGUACGUAGCUCGUAGCUCGUAGCUCUUAUAGUUUCAUAUAUGUCUACUCAAAACAGAGAAAGCACAGGUCUGCCUAGAAGCGAUCUCAACCUAACUCUCAGUGUUUCAUCUGUGUUUUCUCAAACAGAGAAGGCACGCACAGGCCUGCUAGCAACAAUCUCAACUCAGUCUCUAUUCUCUAUCUUAUUUAAAUCUCAGAGAGUUCGCACAAACUCAUAUAGAUACUGCCAAGCACUUGUCAGAUGUUGAAUGGGACUGAGAAUUUAUUGAAUGGUUUAAAGAUAGGGUCGCACAAUUGCAUAAAGAAGACAAUAGUCAGCUCAUUGAAGAUCUUCUCUCACUUUCACGUGGUCCUACCAAAUAUUCAACACGUUCUACUGGUUACAUUGUUAAUAGAUAUAGGUUUCAUGUACAAGAUCAUGAUCAAAUGUUAAGGAUUCAAAAUUGUGGUGUUGUUGUAGUUGACGAGAGUGAUAAAGAUAGUGAGAACCUAGAUUACUAUGGAGUUUUAAUAGAUGUGAUUGAAUUGCAAUUUGUCCCGGAUAGAAGAGUGAUUUUGUUCCGGUGUAACUGAUUUGAUGUGUAUGAUAAAAUAAAACAAGUUAAAAGAGAUGAGUAUGACUUCGUGACUGUGAAUCCGAGUAGAUUUUUGAAAACGAAUGAGCCUUUUGUUUUGGCAAACCAAGCAUCUCAACUGUUUUAUGCUAAUGAUAAUGCCAACAAAGGUUGGCAUGUAGUGACACAGACUCAACCUCGUGAUUUCUAUGAGAUUGUGAAACAAAUGGAUGAUGAUGUUGUAGACGACUUAGAAAAUACUUCACAAAAGAAAUGAAAAAGAACUGACGAGAUGAAGUAAUAUAUUCGUCGUUACCCAUUCUUACAGGUUUAAUAUGAAGACUGAAUAUAAGGAUGGAUCAAUUACGAAGAAUACUAUCAGAUAUUCAUUUGUCGCGCCUGGUGCAAUUGGAAAGGGACGAGGAUGAGGGCUUAAAUCUUUGAUAGAAGCCAGAGUCGAUGCGCAGGAUAGAAGAGCUUAGGCCCACUUCUAUGUAGCUCUAGCUAGAGUAGAGGCUGAGGCCUUGGAUGGUGUGAUCACAGGUCUGAGUACUAGCUACCGGCAUUGAUUCGAGCCAACCGCGGUCGUGAUUUGAGGCAAGGGAGAGCAUAUUGUGUCUUGGAUUUACAUGUCUCCCUCUAUAUAUACAUUUUGCCUGUCUUUUGCUUUUGAGACAACUAUGUUUCCGGGGUCCACUUUUGGAACUUUUACUCUUUUUACUAGUAGCUCUGUACAUGCGACUUCUAGGU